rnacentral:rRNA from 1 species
CAGUAGCCGCGGUAAUACGUAGGGUGCAAGCGUUAAUCGGAAUUACUGGGCGUAAAGCGUGCGCAGGCGGUUUGUUAAGACAGAUGUGAAAUCCCCGGGCUCAACCUGGGAACUGCAUUUGUGACUGGCAGGCUAGAGUGUGGCAGAGGGGGGUGGAAUUCCGCGUGUAGCAGUGAAAUGCGUAGAUAUGCGGAGGAACACCGAUGGCGAAGGCAGCCCCCUGGGCCAAUACUGACGCUCAUGCACGAAAGCGUGGGGAGCAAACAGGAUUAGAUACCCCGGUAGUCCCUGUCUCUUAUAC